UACGUAGGGUGCGAGCGUUAAUCGGAAUUACUGGGCGUAAAGCGUGCGCAGGCGGUUUGUUAAGACAGAUGUGAAAUCCCCGGGCUUAACCUGGGAACUGCAUUUGUGACUGGCAAGCUAGAGUAUGGCAGAGGGGGGUAGAAUUCCACGUGUAGCAGUGAAAUGCGUAGAGAUGUGGAGGAAUACCGAUGGCGAAGGCAGCCCCCUGGGCCCAAUACUGACGCUACAUGCA
rnacentral:rRNA from 1 species